AUGUUUGUUGCGGAAACGUAAGUUUCAGAUGUUCGGUAUCAAAUUUCAGUGUUAAAUGUUCCCUAGAUUCAUGCUCUGUAGCACUUUGAGAUAAAGCGAGAAAGUGCAAGUGACAUCAUGAUCUGGAUAACCAAAUUUGUUGUGAUUUGUUGUAUUUUUAUGGUGGGUGCAGAGCUACAGGGAUCAUCUGAUUCCAGCUGUUUACGAAUGCACUUACAGUGUCAAGUUGAUGGAGGAUCAAACUCUCGCUCAUGUUGUCCGGGGCUGAGCUGUAGAAGUUAUUAUCCAGGAUCACCAUCAGGAAGCUGUGUUGAAAAGAACUGGACACCUAACGUUUUGGUUUCAGCAGGAGGCCGCCACAAACAUAGCAUUUUGCUUUAUGUUAUAAGCACAAGUUUUGUUUCUUUAUACAUGUACAUGAAUUUCAAGUGUUUGAUAUAAUGUGAUUGUUUUGCGUACAACAAUAUUACCUAACGGAUAAUCAGAAACAUUGUACGUUUUACGUAAUGACAUGUUAACAUAUAAACUAUUACUUUACUACAAUGUGUAUUGUUUUCUAGUUAAUCAUACACUGUAGUCUGUCUUUACUCUAAUAAAUGAUAUUUUCCCACGUA